GAUGAACGCUGGCGGCGUGCUUAACACAUGCAAGUCGAACGUGAGGGGGUACUUGUAUCCCUGAAAGUGGCGGACGGGUGCGUAACACGUAGGAACCUGCCCUGGAACGGGGGAUAACCACGGGAAACUGUGGCUAAUACCGCAUGAGCUUGAAGUGACGGGAGUGCUUCAAGCAAAAUUCAGGUGUUCUGGGAGGGGCCUGCGGCCGAUUAGCUAGUUGGUGGGGUAAAGGCCUACCAAGGCGAUGAUCGGUAGCUGUUCUGAGAGGAAGACCAGCCACACGGGAACUGAGAGACGGUCCCGACUCCUACGGGGGGCAGCAGUGAGGAAUAUUGCACAAUGGGGGAAACCCUGAUGCAGCAACGCCGCGUGAAGGAUGAAGGCUUUCGAGUUGUAAACUUCUUUUCUGGGGGAAGAGGAAGGACGGUACCCCAGGAAUAAGACACGGCUAACUACGUGCCAGCAGCCGCGGUAAUACGUAGGUGUCGAGCGUUAUCCGGAAUUACUGGGCGUAAAGGGCACGCAGGCGGCUGCUCAAGUCUGACGUGAAAACUCCCGGCUUAACCGGGAGAGGCCGUUGGAAACUGAGUAGCUUGAGGCAAUGAGAGGGAUGCGGAAUUCCAGGUGUAGUGGUGGAAUGCGUAGAUAUCUGGAAGAACACCAGUGGCGAAAGCGGCAUCCUGGCAUUGACCUGACGCUGAGGUGCGAAAGCGUGGGUAGCGAACGGGAUUAGACACCCCGGUAGUCCACGCUGUAAACGAUGUGAACUAGGUGUAGGUGGUAUUGACCUCAUCUGUGCCAAAGCUAACGCGAUAAGUUCACCGCCUGGGGAGUACGGCCGCAAGGCUAAAACUCAAAUGAAUUGACGGGGACCCGCACAAGCGGUGGAGCAUGUGGUUUAAUUCGAAGCAACGCGCAGAACCUUACCAACCCUUGACAUGUUCGUCGCGAGACUAAGAAAUUA
rnacentral:rRNA from 1 species